ACGGAGGAUCCAAGCGUUAUCCGGAAUCAUUGGGUUUAAAGGUCCGUAGGCGGUUUAAUAAGUCAGUGGUGAAAGCCCAUCGCUCAACGGUGGAACGGCCAUUGAUACUGUUAGACUUGAAUUAUUAGGAAGUAACUAGAAUAUGUAGUGUAGCGGUGAAAUGCUUAGAGAUUACAUGGAAUACCAAUUGCGAAGGCAGGUUACUACUAAUUGAUUGACGCUGAUGGACGAAAGCGUGGGUAGCGAACAGGAUUAGAUACCCUGGUAGUCCACGCCGUAAACGAUGGAUACUAGCUGUUGGGAGCAAUCUCAGUGGCUAAGCGAAAGUGAUAAGUAUCCCACCUGGGGAGUACGUUCGCAAGAAUG
rnacentral:rRNA from 1 species